rnacentral:rRNA from 1 species
GACGAACGCUGGCGGCGUGCUUAACACAUGCAAGUCGAACGGAAAGGCCCUGCUUUUGUGGGGUGCUCGAGUGGCGAACGGGUGAGUAACACGUGAGUAACCUGCCCUUGACUUUGGGAUAACUUCAGGAAACUGGGGCUAAUACCGCAUAGGAGCUCCUGCUGCAUGGUGGGGGUUGGAAAGUUUCGGCGGUUGGGGAUGGACUCGCGGCUUAUCAGCUUGUUGGUGGGGUAGUGGCUUACCAAGGCUUUGACGGGUAGCCGGCCUGAGAGGGGGACCGGCCACAUGGGGACUGAGAGACGGCCCAGAAUCCUACGGGAGGCAGCAGUGGGGAAUAUUGCACAAUGGGCGGAAGCCUGAUGCAGCAACGCCGCGUGCGGGAUAACGGCCUUCGGGUUGUAAACCGCUUUCGCCUGUGACGAAGCGUGAGUGACGGUAAUGGGUAAAGAAGCACCGGCUAACUACGUG